rnacentral:siRNA from 1 species
CUGCAAAAUCUUAUCUACUUCUA